rnacentral:rRNA from 1 species
UACGUAGGGGGCAAGCGUUUGUCCGGAUUUAUUGGGCGUAAAGAGCUCGUAGGCGGUCUGUCGCGUCGGCUGUGAAAACCCGGAGCUCAACUCCGGGCCUGCAGUCGAUACGGGCAGACUGGAGUUCGGCAGGGGAGACUGGAAUUCCUGGUGUAGCGGUGAAAUGCGUAGAUAUCGGGAGGAACACCAGUGGCGCAAGCGGCUGACUGGCCGAGACCUGACGCUGAGACGCGACGGCGUGGGGGAGCAAACAGG